GUGUCAGCAGCCGCGGUAAGACGUAGGAGGCGAGCGUUAUCCGGAUUCACUGGGCGUAAAGCGCAUGUAGGCGGUUCGAUAAGUCCGCUGUUAAAGCCCCCGGCUCAACUGGGGGAGGUCAGUGGAGACUAUAGGACUUGAGGGCAACAGAGGCACGUGGAACUCCCGGUGUAGCGGUUGAAUGCGUGGAGAUCGGGAAGAACACCAGUGGCGAAGGCGACGUGCUGGGUUGCGACUGACGCUGAGAUGCGAAAGUGUGGGGAGCAAACGGGAUUAGAUACCCGAGUAGUCC
rnacentral:rRNA from 1 species